rnacentral:lncRNA from 1 species
UUUCCCCCUGAGAAGUAUCGUAUCACGCCAGAUAGAGCCCAUUCUUUGAUCUCGGUCUAUAUGUCCAUGAAACAGAAGUUAAACACUUAUUUUCCCCCGAAAUGGAAGUUCAAUAUCUUAAUCUCCCCGAUUCGUGGUUACGUCGGUUUGAUGUGUAAACCCGAGACGAAACCAUGUAUGGGUCGUAACCAAACCAAAAAACAGACCGGUUUCCUUAUUAUAACCCGACGUCCCUACCCAUUGUCGUAACCAAACUCAAAAUCCCCAAUUCCCAAAUUCAAAAUCCCCAAAUUCAAAA